AUUUUUCCCGACGCCGCUGUAUUAGGGCAAUAUGACGUCAUGAACUGUAUGUGACUGUACGCAGCGCGUGCCGCGGAGCGCGUGCUCUGAGCACAUGGAAAAGGGCUCGAGACGAAGUGCCCAAAGAAAUACUCCAAACCUGAAAUGGAAUAUCAGUAACAAAUUAUUCACAUCUGGAGUAAAGGGACCUUCAGAACAGCUGCUAGUCAGCCUGUCGUUCUCUCAAUAGAAGCCUGAAACCGGAGCCACAAGUGAAUGCCAAACUUUUCAGGAAAAGACCUACAUGCUCUGCCCCCUGUGAGCUGACAGCUCCUUGCCAUCAAAGUCAACGAUGCUGCUUUGCUGUGAAGAGAUGAAGAUCUGCUGCUGCCUGCGGACAGCUGGGUUUUACACAGUGGGUGUAAAGAUGUGGAAGAGGGUCUAUGUGUUCAUUUACACUGGAGGAAAAGAGAGGAGAUGCUCACAUGUAAAUACUCACAUCAGCGGGAGAAAAAUGGGCGGGAAAGGAGAGUGAGAGAUGUGGCACAUUCCGGAGAUUCCACACAAGCGUUUCCAGAGGCCAGAACCAUGAAUGGAUCCAGUGAGGAUAGUUAGCUAAUGCAUGCAGAUGCAUACAUACUUUCACACAUCCAGAUGUAUCAUAUCACAGGGAGGUAAACCACAGAAUUUGACCUAGGGAGGUCAGAAAUGCCACGUGACAAGCACAUACUGCCACACAUAACAUGCAGACAAAGUGUAUGUGUGUGUGUGUGUGUNNNNNNNNNNNNNNNNNNNNNNNNNNUACAAUAUAUAUAUAUAUAUAUAUAUAUAUAUAUAUAGUUAUAAUAAUG
ensembl:lncRNA